AAAGUCGUAACAAGGUUUCCGUAGGUGAACCUGCGGAAGGAUCAUUAACGAUUGCUACAUGCACACAAAGACGAAACGUCUGCUUUGACUGGAUUUCAGGCGAAAACUCCUGACGAGUUCAGGAAGGAAGAGAUGCUUCUCUUUCUCUCGCGUUGAGAAAGAAUGGAGCCAUCGUGGUCGUCGUGCUUCUGCGCUGCGAACGAUGUAAAACAAACAACCUAUGGCCUCUCAUACAGUUCAGGCGAAAACUCCUGACGAGUUCAGGAAGGAUGAUGCUUCUCUUUCUCUCGCGUUGAGAAAGAAUGGAGCCAUCGUGGUCGUCGUGCUUCUGCGCUACGAACGAUGUAAAACAAACAACCGAUGGCCUCUCAUACAGUAUAAUAUCUCUCGCCAUGGUAUACAGGCCUGGCAUCUGGUACGAGUCUCUCGCAGUCUCAAAACCAACCUUACAACUCUGAGCGGUGGAUCACUUGGCUUGUGGAUGCUAUGAAGACCAUAGCUAAGUGUGAGAAUGGCAGCGAGCCGUCGCUAUAUGCGCUGUCCUCUUCUUAUCACAUGUCGAAUGCACAUUGCGCCCCACCCAGCGGUCGGCUAAACAACCUGCAGACAAAAGCCUGUGAGUUGGAACAAAGGCAAAUGUGUGGCCCUCGAGCAACGGCGGGGGAGCCAGGAGCACAUGGGCGUGCGGACCAACUACUCGUGAGUAGUCAGGCUGAACCCUAUGGUGGGGCACUCCUAGUCGAGUGUGGUGGAUCGGACUCACAUCUCUUGUUGCGCGUUUUGCGCGCGUGAUGGGAUUUUGUGAGUUUCUUUGUUGCUGGUGGCAUUUGGGUCGACAUCAGUCGUGCCCGUAAACAACUGCCUUGGCUCGUGCCUCUGUGCGUAUCUACCUCUUGCAGGUGUGCGUGCAUUGAAGGCCAUAGCUGGCGAUCACUCUUGCGGCCAGGGCCCUAUUUUGCCUGGUUAAUGGCACCAGUAGGGCGCAGAGGUCCAAAAGGAAAUGGUAAUACGAGAGUCGGGUCUCUAGUACUCUGGCCCGCUUGCGCACGGUUAGUGGUAUGGUGAUUUGGUUUGCCUGCGUAUACGCUGCUCUGGUAAAGGUUCGUCUCUCGUACUAUUCGAGAAUGACACGCCUCACCUCUUUUGUUCACACGCAUGCUGGGAGACGAAGAAACGCCUGACGAGAUCAGGACGGAUUUUCUAACAGUGUGACAAAAGUAACAGAAUGGCCUGCAGUACCCCUCCACUCCAUGUUUGACCCGAUGCGUAACCGUUGGUAUGAGAGAGACUUGGCUGCUCGUGUCUGAUACAGCCACCACCUCGACUUAGGAGAGGUUACCCGCUGAACUUAAGCAUAUCAGUAAGCGGAGGAAAAGAAACCAAUCAGGGAUUCCCUUAGUAGGGGCGACCGAACAGGGAUGAGCCCAGCGCAGAACCUCCCGGGCCACCCGGCCUGCGGCGGAAUGUUGCGUUAAGGGAAAGGUCGUAGUCAAACCCCACAGCCACGCGAGCUCUAAGUAAGUCACGAAUUGGCUAUCCCAACUAACGGCGGGAAAAUCUCCACGGAGGGUGUAAGACCCGUGUGGGCGCGUGUAAAUGCUGUGUGGGCUCGGCCUCUUUUCCCUGAGAGUCGCGUUGCUUGAGCAUGCAGCGCUAAGCAGGUCGUAAACUCGAUCUAAGGCUAAAUAUGUCCACAAGACCGAUAGCGAACAAGUACCGUGAGGGAAAGUUGAAAAGCACUCUGAAGAGAG
rnacentral:rRNA from 1 species